GAACGCUGGCGGCGUGGAUAAGACAUGCAAGUCGAGCGGGAACACAAAGGUAGCAAUAUCGUUGUGUUCUAGCGGCGAAAGGGUGCGUAACACGUGGGUAAUCUGCCGUGAAGUUCGGAACAACUCCGGGAAACCGGGGCUAAUGCCGAAUGUGGAUGUUGGGAUCACUUCCCGAUAUCUAAAGCCGGGGACCGUAAGGCCUGGCGCUUCAUGAUGAGCCUGCGGCCUAUCAGCUAGUUGGUGAGGUAACGGCUCACCAAGGCGAAGACGGGUAGCUGGUCUGAGAGGACGACCAGCCACACUGGAACUGAGACACGGUCCAGACACCUACGGGUGGCAGCAGUCGAGAAUUUUUCACAAUGGGCGAAAGCCUGAUGGAGCGACGCCGCGUGGGGGAUGAAUGGCUUCGGCCCGUAAACCCCUGUCAUUUGCGAGCAAAUGCGCCGAUUGAACAAAUCGGCGGACUGAUAGUAGCGAAAGAGGAAGGGACGGCUAACUCUGUGCCAGCAGCCGCGGUAAUACAGAGGUCCCAAGCGUUGUUCGGAUUUACUGGGCGUAAAGGGUGCGUAGGUGGCAGGGUAAGUUCGGUGUGAAAGCUUCGAGCUCAACUCGGAAACGGCAUUGAAAACUAUCCUGCUUGAGGGUCGGAGGGGAGACUGGAAUUCUCGGUGUAGCAGUAAAAUGCGUAGAUAUCGAGAGGAACACCAGUGGCGAAGGCGGGUCUCUGGACGAUUCCUGACACUGAGGCACGAAAGCUAGGGGAGCAAACAGGAUUAGAUACCCUGGUAGUCCUAGCCGUAAACGGUGCACGUUUGCUGUGGGCGGAAUCGACCCCGUCCGUGGCGUAGCUAACGCGUUAAACGUGCCGCCUGGGGAGUACGGUCGCAAGAUUAAAACUCAAAGAAAUUGACGGGGGCCUGCACAAGCGGUGGAGUAUGUGGCUUAAUUCGAUGCAACGCGAAGAACCUUACCUGGCCUUGACAUGUAUGUGUAGAAGCCUGAAAGGGUAACGACCCCGCAAGGGGAGCAUGCACAGGUGCUGCAUGGCUGUCGUCAGCUCGUGUCGUGAGAUGUUGGGUUAAGUCCCGCAACGAGCGCAACCCUCGUGUCCUGUUGCCACCUCUGCGCAAGCAGAGAGCACUCUGGACAGACUGCCUCGCUUAAACGGGGAGGAAGGUGGGGAUGACGUCAAGUCAGUAUGGCCCUUACGGCCAGGGCUGCACACGUACUACAAUGCCCGGUACAAAGGGAAGCAAGACCGCAGGGUGGAGCAAAUCCCCUAAAACCGGGCCCAGUUCAGAUUGUCGUCUGCAACUCGACGGCAUGAAGCUGAAUCGCUAGUAAUGGCGCAUCAGCUACGGCGCCGUGAAUACGUUCCCAGGCCUUGUACACACCGCCCGUCACAUCAUGAAAGCCGGUCGUACCCGAAGUCGCUGCGUCAACCCUGCGCAAGUGGGGGGAUAGGUGCCGAAGGUAUGGCUGGUGAUUGGGAUGAAGUCGUAACAAGGUA
rnacentral:rRNA from 1 species